rnacentral:rRNA from 1 species
GACGAACGCUGGCGGCGUGCUUAACACAUGCAAGUCGAGCGGUAAGGCCCUUUCGGGGGUACACGAGCGGCGAACGGGUGAGUAACACGUGGGUGACCUGCCCUCAGCUCUGGGAUAAGCCCGGGAAACUGGGUCUAAUACUGGAUAUGACUCCAUGACGCAUGUUGUGGGGUGGAAAGCCUUGUGCGGCUGGGGAUGGGCCCGCGGCCUAUCAGCUUGUUGGUGGGGUGAUGGCCUACCAAGGCGACGACGGGUAGCCGGCCUGAGAGGGCGACCGGCCACACUGGGACUGAGACACGGCCCAGACUCCUACGGGAGGCAGCAGUGGGGAAUCUUGCGCAAUGGGCGAAAGCCUGACGCAGCGACGCCGCGUGAGGGAUGACGGCCUCGG